AGCUUUGCGCAGUGGCAGUAUCGUAGCCAAUGAGGUUUAUCCGAGGCGCGAUUAUUGCUAAUUGAAAACUUUUCCCAUGAGCUCUUGAAAGAAAGUGAGCCAGCCUGCCAUAGACAAGCUAGGCCUAGGAAUCGUCCAAGCUCAUUACAAUGUGGAAAUGAGUGAUAUAUUCUCAUUUCAUUUGAGUUAUUUUUGCUGUCAGUUUCAUUUU
rnacentral:snRNA from 1 species